GUGUGAAUACAUGAAGUUUGGACAGGCUUCUCCAUGGCCUGGACACCAGUUCCCAGCUAAGUCACUUUCUUUUUGGCUAAAAACCCCUGCCCAGAAGCUGAUCAUUGCAGUGCUGGUGGAGAUCGCAGGUCGCUCAGGCUUGCAGAUGGGUCAAGGGCUGUGGAGAGCGGCCAGAAACCAGCAGCUACAACAGGAAGGAUAUAGUGAGCAAGGCUACCUCACCAGAGAGCAGAGCAGAAGAAUGGCUGUAAGCAACGUUUCUAACACUGAUCAUUGCAAGCAAGUCCAAGGAGGCAUUGAUAUGUGUCAUCUUUUGAAAGCAAGGAAAUCUAAAGAACAAGAAGGAUUCAUUAAUUUGGUAAUGUUGGCUCCUGAACUGAGCUUUACCAUCUUGUCCUACGUGAAUGCAACUGACCUAUGUAUGGCUUCAUGUGUUUGGCAGGACCUUGCUAAUGAUGAACUUCUCUGGCAAGGGGAUCGAACUCCAGACCUUGUGCUUCUGAGGCAGGCAGUGGAACCACUGUGCUAAAUCCCUGGACCUAGACUGAAUGAUUUCUAUCUGGGAAUAUAAUUGAAAGAAUUAAUCUAAAUAACCAAACUUUCUAGUAGUGACAUGUCUAACAUAGACUUCCUAAUGGUACAGAAUUAUAAUAUAAAAUUAUGUAGGUAUUUUAUCAACUGCUAAAUACAAGAAAAUCAUCAACUUCUUCUUUCAGAGCCUUGUCAUAGUGAAGGUACUGCUAAUAUGAGGAAAUUAUAUUAAUUAGUAGCAUUUAAAUAUUGACUUCUUACUCAUUUGAAUAUAAAAGGAAAUUAAACUACUUUAAAACUGGUUCAUUCUUUAUAA
rnacentral:lncRNA from 1 species